rnacentral:rRNA from 1 species
UAGUCCACACCGUAAACGAUGAGAGCUAGUUGUCUGCAAGCAUGCUUGUAGGUGACGCAGCUAACGCAUUAAGCUCUCCGCCUGGGGAGUACGGUCGCAAGAUUAAAACUCAAAGAAAUUGACGGGGGCCCGCACAAGCGGUGGAGCAUGUGGUUUAAUUCGAAGCAACGCGCAGAACCUUACCUACCCUUGACAUGCCGGUCGCGAUUUCCAGAGAUGGAUUUCUUCAAUUCGGUUGGACCGUGCACAGGUGCUGCAUGGUUGUCGUCAGCUCGUGCCGUGAGGUGUUGGCUUAAGUGCCGCAACGAGCGCAACCCCUAUUGUUAGUUGCCAGCGAGUAAUGUCGGGGACUCUAACAAGACUGCCGGCGUAAGCCGCGAGGAAGGUGGGGACGACGUCAAAUCAUCAUGGCCUUUAUGCCUAGGGCUACACACGUGCUACAAUGGGUGAGACAGAGGGUUGCCAAGCCGCGAGGUGGAGCUAAUCUCAGAAA